rnacentral:lncRNA from 1 species
GGAACCACAGCUGUAUUACUGCCUAAUCGGGCUGCUUUUAAAUCUAAAUUGUAUUUACUUGAGUCCUUCCCCAGCCACUGAUUCCUCUGAGUACCAAAUCAAAAGAGGACAAGAAGAGAAAAGCAUAAUUUAUUCAAAAUCUUUUUAUCCAGCAAGCCUGGCUUCAUUUGGGGUAUUAGGUAUCGUUACAAAGCCAGAGAGGAUUUAACAGGACUUUGAAUAAGGAGGAGAAACUAAGAGGAAAACACAUCAGGUGGUUUUACAACAUCUCCAGUAGGAAAAUAAAAGACCCAAAACUGCAGAGACACUUGCUUCGCCCUGGAAGGACAGGCGUAAUUUGCAGAGGAAGUGGUGGUGUUUAAUUUCAAUCAAAACAAGUCUGUUCUGCUCAUUUCUUUGGCCCAGGACCCUGAGCUGGAGAAGUCCAAACAUGUGAUCUGGGAACAAGUGUUUUGUUUUUUGCUUCCCCCCCCUCAAAGUAACAGAAAUAGAAUUAUCAUUCAUUCUGGAGACGCUGAGGGUGAUGGAUUGAAGGACGUGGGAUCCCUGCCCGGGCAGAGACAGCGGACCGUCUCGGCAGUGGCCAGUGUGAAGAGAAUCUUAGGGGAGCAAGAGUGUGGAGCAUGCGGAACAGUCCAGAACCAGAAGCAGAGCUGCAGGGGGCUUGUUUGCAGGCAUUUCUGAGGGCGGUCACUGGGCUCCCGUGAUCCUUGUGUCCGCCGAAGACAGUGCCUCCUUAGAGCCUUGAAAAUACUAGGUGCCUGAGGGGGUCUGGACCCGCUGCCCUACACUAUGGCACGUCGGAUAUCUUAAGCUGAAGGAGUUUGAGAACAUGGCACAAGCAGGAAGGUGCCUCCCUUCGCCCGUCUCCCUCGAAAGCCGGAGAUAAGUCUCUCAUGUGAAAGGUACCCUCCUGUACCAGGAGGCCAGCAGACACGCUGGCCUCCCAGAGACGGAGUUCAGGGCCAAGAAUAACCCCCUUCGUUACCUUUUCACCAUUCAGUACCCCUGGAGCUGGCCCCCUUGUCUUGUCCACGCUUCACAAAUUCAUUGUUUUGUCUUAAACGUCGACAAGCCUCCUGCUCGGGUCGCUUCUCUGGGUCUUUAACUCUCGUCUGAAAGUUCCCGUGGACAUGUUAAGAACGGAAUAAAACUUGCAUUGUUUCCCCUGUCA